GGUCCGCUGGCUCAAUGGUAGAGCGUUUGACUACGAAUCAAGAGGUUCCAGGUUCGAGCCCUGGGCGGAUCG
rnacentral:tRNA from 1 species